rnacentral:rRNA from 1 species
AGCGAACGCUGGCGGCAGGCCUAAUACAUGCAAGUCGAGCGCACCUUCGGGUGAGCGGCGGACGGGUGAGUAACGCGUGGGAACGUGCCCUUUGCUACGGAACAACUGAGGGAAACUUCAGCUAAUACCGUAUGUGCCCUUCGGGGAAAGGAUUUAUCGGCAUUGGAGCGGCCCGCGUUGGAUUAGGUAGUUGGUGAGGUAAAGGCUCACCAAGCCUACGAUCCAUAGCUGGUCUGAGAGGAUGAUCAGCCACACUGGGGACUGAGACACGGCCCAGACUCCUACGGGAGGCAGCAGUGGGGAAUAUUGGACAAUGGGCGCAAGCCUGAUCCAGCCAUGCCGCGUGAGUGAUGAAGGCCUUAGGGUUGUAAAGCUCUUUGGCGGGGACGAUAAUGACGGUACCCGCAGAAGAACGCCCCGGCUAACUUCGUGCCAGCCGCCGCCGU